ACGAACAUGAAAAAGUGGGGACAUAUGAAGCUACGCACUAUUCUCCAGGAGUGCACUUUUGAUAAAGAGUUUCGGAAAUCUCCUCUUGCUUAUCAGAUUCUGUUUGGUUGUGGAUUUGCUGUUUGAGCUGUGGUUAGAAAUUUGUGAUAUUCGAUUUGGUUUUCAUAUUAAUUGAGGUGGAGGUCAAUGUGUGGUGUUUGUUUUUGAAAG